UACGUAGGGGGCUAGCGUUGUCCGGAAUCAUUGGGCGUAAAGAGCGUGUAGGCGGCCCGGUAAGUCCGCUGUAAAAGUCAAAGGCUCAACCUUUGAAUGUCAGUGGAUACUGCCGGGCUAGAGUCCGGAAGAGGCGAGUGGAACUCCUGGUGUAGCGGUGGAAUGCGCAGAUAUCAGGAAGAACACCAACGGCGAAGGCAGCUCGCUGGGACGGUACUGACGCUGAGACGCGAAGGCGUGGGGAGCGAACAGG
rnacentral:rRNA from 1 species